rnacentral:rRNA from 1 species
AUUGAACGCUGGCGGCAUGCCUUACACAUGCAAGUCGAACGGCAGCACGGGAGCAAUCCUGGUGGCGAGUGGCGAACGGGUGAGUAAUAUAUCGGAACGUGCCCAGUCGUGGGGGGUAACGUAGCGAAAGCUACGCUAAUACCGCAUACGAUCUAUGGAUGAAAGCGGGGGAUCGCAAGACCUCGCGCGAUUGGAGCGGCCGAUAUCAGAUUAGGUAGUUGGUGAGGUAAAGGCUCACCAAGCCGACGAUCUGUAGCUGGUCUGAGAGGACGACCAGCCACACUGGGACUGAGACACGGCCCAGACUCCUACGGGAGGCAGCAGUGGGGAAUUUUGGACAAUGGGCGCAAGCCUGAUCCAGCAAUGCCGCGUGCAGGAUGAAGGCCUUCGGGUUGUAAACUGCUUUUGUACGGAACGAAACGGUGAGCUCUAAUACAGUUUGCUAAUGACGGUACCGUAAGAAUAAGCACCGGCUAACUACGUG